UAACACUAAAUCCUUACUAAAUGAUAAGUUUCUUUUUAUGGUGAUAUAUAAUCAAUUAAACUGCUUGCAAAAUGACUUAUCCACUGCUUAACUAUCUAUUCUGAUUUCUGUCAUCAAAUUUUCAAGUCUAUCCUUGUUGACCAAGCAUCCUCUUGUACGUGGACUUGCUAUAUCAUCUAUAUAUGGGGGCAGAAACUCAUCCUUGUAUAGCUUCUAAAUUUACCCUAAUUCCUAGCUCGUAAAAUACAAGGGAAUUUAUUUUGGCUUGCAACUUCCGUCAGUUCCAAACGUGUGCCGGCCGGGGCAGACAUGCAUGCUGAAAGACUUGUUUCAUCUUUACAUUUCUCGAAUUAAUGGGACCGAUGGUGGAGCCACGAUUAUGAACGAACGGACUAACGAUAUGGCUGAAAAUGAAUUGGACAACUCAAUCACCAUAUUCUAUUUUUGAAUUGAUAAGUCAACUACAUAAGCUGCAUCCACAAUUUAUAGAAUUAGAAUAUCUAACUUGUAAAUAUGAUAUGCAUGAACCAGUAUUUAAGAUAUGCUUCAUUUUUAUUUAUGACUUAACUUUCUCUCUAUAUAUUUAUCUAUAUCUAUUGUACACAUGUAUAUUAAAAUUGAAUUUCUGUCUGCCAAUCAACAUUAAAGGAUUUAGGUUCAUCCUUUAAAUUUAAUUUUUUUUGUAUUUGGAUCUCUUUAUAAUAUCAAUGUUAAAUUAAAUUAAUAUUUCUAUCAAUUUUUAAUCUGACGUGACAUCUCUCUAACCAAAUUAAUAAGAUAAACUAACUAAAUAAUCAAUUUGAUCUAAUAGAAAAACUUUAAGGAACUACCGUAUAAGAAAUUUAAAUUUAAAGAACUAAAUUAAAACCAAAAAUGUCUUUCAAAAGAAAUUAAAACCUAAAAUAUAAAUAAAGAACCAAAAUUUUAUUUUAGCCAACUGAUGUGUUUUAUGUGAAUUAUUUUCUUACGAGUGAAUAAGAACAAUCAAUCUUGGUCAUCAUUAUCAUACAUGGAUGGGCAUAUUUGCAUUUAUCAACAUAUUAAAAAAUCAUUGAACUUGUGGAUUGAGUAACUCUUCCAUAUAUGUUGACUCAACUAUCACAUUAGCAUUAACAUUACACUUCAACGAAUUGAAUGGAAUUGAUUUUCAUCACUAGCUGAUGGACCCCCCAAAUGAAUAUAUGGCCUCACUUCUCCAUGUUCAUCAGUCUAAAUUUAAUACUUUGUCUUAAACCCAGACUUGUAUCAAUGAACCCUCAUCUCUUCUGGAGUCAAAAACUUAAAGCAUACACUUUGUUCAAAGUCACUUGAUUGGUCCCUCAAACAAAAACUGAAAAAAGUAGGGUUGUUUCAUUGCCUUCCUAAUAAUCUUUGCAACUCUACUAACAAACUCAUUUUUCAAGCCUCUCCUAUUAGUAUUUACACCUUCACACAUCCAACUAAGAUCUAUUAUUUAUUUGGAAACAUGGAAUUACAGUCCAACAAGAGUAUUAUACAAAUUUUUUAAAAAAAUCAGCAGCAUAAUUCCUAUAUUUUGAACAGUUUCCAUUUGUUUUUUUAAAAAAACAUGCUUUUUACUAACAAACAACAAACGCAUGCAUAUUUCUCCAUUACCAGUACAUAAUCAAACACUGUAUCUUAGAAAAGAUCACAUCAAUCGGUACAUCAAGUAAAACACAUGCGUAAUUCCUAAAUUAUCAACACCCAAUUUAGCAUCUUAUAUCUCAGACAGAAACAUAUUGAGUUUUGGUCUCCACUAACAAACAAACAUAUGUAUACCUUCUAAAAUACUAGCAAACAAUCUAACAUUUUUGCAUCUUAGACAGAAACAAACUUGUUAUUUUUUUUCUCUCCACUAACAAACAACACAUCAAUCCACACAAUAACUCAGUCUGGACCAUGAACAAACUUGCAUUAAAGUUUUCUCUUUUCUUCAAUAUGUUGUGCAAGCCAAGUCCUUAGCCACGAACUCAACAUGUUAUGUGAGAAUUGAGACCUACCUAAUGAUGUGGGUCAAAUGGUAUCAUAUGUAGAGUUUGAGUAAAUAUUUGGUUUGAUUCUCACAUAACACUUCUUUAUAAAGGGAGAGAAGUUUUAAUAUAAUUGCAAUGAAGCCUCAGACAAAAAAGUAAUACCAUAGUUGAUUUAAAGAAUCAAAAGUUAUAAAAAUACAUCAAGAUUAUCAGAGUAAAAGGUUCUAAUUAGGAUGAUUUAAAAAAAAGAAAACGAGACUUACAAACACAAAUAUAUCUUAAAAAAUUCUUUUACAAUUAUUGAAUUAGUUGGUAUAUAAUUGGUUCAUAAUAACUGAACAACUUACAUGAGAGCUCGAUAAAAGACUAAAGAGAAUGCUUCGUCCUCCCAGUCAAAUAACACGAAAAGACUCAUGCAUGUCCGUGACAUUGUUCAGUUAAUG
rnacentral:lncRNA from 1 species